rnacentral:lncRNA from 8 species
UGUUUGUUUCUUCCAGAACUUACUUACUAAACUGCCAUAUAGCACAAUCUCUUGCUGUAAUAGUAACAUGCACAUAAUGAUAAAUACAACCAUGCAAUGAUUAACUGGCAAUUCUGUACUUCGGAGAUGGCAUGCAUUAAUUACACAGGUAUUAAGUUAUAUGUAACAAGAUAACUAACACUAGCAAGGUUUCAGUAGCAUGCAUUAAUCAUAAACAACCCCCAACAAUAUAAAGCCCCUUUUAGAAUAAACACUUAAUAAAGCUUGGUUGCAAACCAAACUUGUGUCUUCUUCUGUUGAUGACUAAAAAUGUUCUGAGCUAGAGUGGGCGGAGCCCAAGUCCAAAUGUCAAUUCAAGUACCCUGAUUGGCUGGAAGGAAAGGCCUUUUUUACAGUUUAGUUUAGCAAAUCUGCAUAUCUUUCUCUCAAAUAGGCCUCGGACUCUGAAUGGAGCACCACACUAUUACUGGAUUGAUCUCAAACACAAGUCUGUAUAUUUAGGUUGAUGUGAAAAUGGCCUCCUCUGUUCCUGCUCAUGAAAAACAAAAGGGCGGUUCCACUGAGGCUGUGCCUGCAUGGGAAUUUCUAUUAUUUCCAGCUGCAGAUGGAAACUAUUACAGAGUCCCUGAUGAGCUGUAGAGUGGAGUGAGGGGUGUUGCACACACACAAAACACACACACACACAAGCUGAGUCACUCGCAGAAGAUAAAAGACACCCUGUUGGCCAGCAGCAGUGGUUCUCUCCCUCCCUCCCUCCUUCUCUUUCUCUCUCCCUCUGUACUAUACCAAGAAGUCCUCUCUACUCGGCCUGCGCUGCACUAAUCUGUGGAUACUUUGGCAUCUGCACAAAGACUUGGACGUCAGAGACUAUCCAGGACCAUAACAGAUGACAUGAAGUCUCAGGUACAGGCAUUUUGGCAUGCUCCCUAACUCACAAAUAAUUCAAAAUGUAAGAGCACAGGAAGAGAGCUAGAUCCUUAGUAGAAUUGAAUUCUAUGAAAUAAUAUAUUCAGGCAGACCCAAAGCAUUGAAGGUUUGCUAGAGAUGUUAAAAACAAAAAGAUUUUGCUCUGUCAGAGCCAAUAAUUCUUAUCUUUGAAGUCUGCCUUGGCAGAGUUGGCAUGAACAGCACACAGAGGGAGGCCUUUUAAAUAUGCUAAACAACAAGGAAAAACACUAACACGUACAAGGUAGAAUGAAAAUAACAGCUAUUUAUGGACGGGCUAGAAUUUCCAUGAAAAUGCCCCAGUCCUGGCUCCACAAGGCAGCGCUCUGAUUUAACUAGAUACAGUUUCACCCUGUGU